UACGUAGGGUGCGAGCGUUAAUCGGAAUUACUGGGCGUAAAGCGUGCGCAGGUGGCUGUCCAAGCCAGAUGUGAAAUCCCCGGGCUCAACCUGGGAAUGGCAUUUGGGACUGGUCGGCUAGAGUGCGGCAGAGGGAGCUGGAAUUCCUGGUGUAGCAGUGAAAUGCGUAGAGAUCAGGAGGAACACCAAUGGCGAAGGCAGGCUCCUGGGCUAGCACUGACACUCAUGCACGAAAGCGUGGGGAGCAAACAGG
rnacentral:rRNA from 1 species